ACUUAAAUUGAAGAGUUUGAUCAUGGCUCAGAUUGAACGCUGGCGGCAGGCCUAACACAUGCAAGUCGAGCGGUAGCACAGAGAGCUUGCUCUCGGGUGACGAGCGGCGGACGGGUGAGUAAUGUCUGGGAAACUGCCUGAUGGAGGGGGAUAACUACUGGAAACGGUAGCUAAUACCGCAUAAUGUCGCAAGACCAAAGUGGGGGACCUUCGGGCCUCAUGCCAUCAGAUGUGCCCAGAUGGGAUUAGCUAGUAGGUGGGGUAAUGGCUCACCUAGGCGACGAUCCUAGCUGGUCUGAGAGGAUGACCAGCCACACUGGAACUGAGACACGGUCCAGACUCCUACGGAGGCAGCAGUGGGGAAUAUUGCACAAUGGGCGCAAGCCUGAUGCAGCCAUGCCGCGUGUGUGAAGAAGGCCUUCGGGUUGUAAAGCACUUUCAGCGGGGAGGAAGGCGGUGAGGUUAAUAACCUCAUCGAUUGACGUUACCCGCAGAAGAAGCACCGGCUAACUCCGUGCCAGCAGCCGCGGUAAUACGGAGGGUGCAAGCGUUAAUCGGAAUUACUGGGCGUAAAGCGCACGCAGGCGGUCUGUCAAGUCGGAUGUGAAAUCCCCGGGCUUAACCUGGGAACUGCAUUCGAAACUGGCAGGCUAGAGUCUUGUAGAGGGGGGUAGAAUUCCAGGUGUAGCGGUGAAAUGCGUAGAGAUCUGGAGGAAUACCGGUGGCGAAGGCGGCCCCCUGGACAAAGACUGACGCUCAGGUGCGAAAGCGUGGGGAGCAAACAGGAUUAGAUACCCUGGUAGUCCACGCCGUAAACGAUGUCGAUUUGGAGGUUGUGCCCUUGAGGCGUGGCUUCCGGAGCUAACGCGUUAAAUCGACCGCCUGGGGAGUACGGCCGCAAGGUUAAAACUCAAAUGAAUUGACGGGGGCCCGCACAAGCGGUGGAGCAUGUGGUUUAAUUCGAUGCAACGCGAAGAACCUUACCUGGUCUUGACAUCCACAGAACUUUCCAGAGAUGGAUUGGUGCCUUCGGGAACUGUGAGACAGGUGCUGCAUGGCUGUCGUCAGCUCGUGUUGUGAAAUGUUGGGUUAAGUCCCGCAACGAGCGCAACCCUUAUCCUUUGUUGCCAGCGGUCCGGCCGGGAACUCAAAGGAGACUGCCAGUGAUAAACUGGAGGAAGGUGGGGAUGACGUCAAGUCAUCAUGGCCCUUACGACCAGGGCUACACACGUGCUACAAUGGCAUAUACAAAGAGAAGCGACCUCGCGAGAGCAAGCGGACCUCAUAAAGUAUGUCGUAGUCCGGAUUGGAGUCUGCAACUCGACUCCAUGAAGUCGGAAUCGCUAGUAAUCGUAGAUCAGAAUGCUACGGUGAAUACGUUCCCGGGCCUUGUACACACCGCCCGUCACACCAUGGGAGUGGGUUGCAAAAGAAGUAGGUAGCUUAACCUUCGGGAGGGCGCUUACCACUUUGUGAUUCAUGACUGGGGUGAAGUCGUAACAAGGUAACCGUAGGGGAACCUGCGGUUGGAUCACCUCCUUACCUUAAAGAA
rnacentral:rRNA from 1 species